ACCCCAUUUGUAGAGAAGCACAUUGAGAGGGCGGGGCUUCAGAGGAAGGUGUCCAAUCGGAGGCUACCAUCUGUGGAUGCAUUUGAUGAGGCCGUUCAGAGAUGCUUGGAGCAGGGUCCCAACCAAGGUUUACAUAAACUAAGUCUAAAAUUUUGCAUCAAUCCUAUUUUGUCUGUAUCUAAAAUGGUUAUCUAAUAUCUCUCUCCUUUAGAUCAAUCUGUAUUUCAGGAUGGAAAAACUCUAGAAGAUUCUUCAUUCUUCAGAAGUUCACACUCGGCCUCAAUGAUGUCACAGAGCUUUAUGCCCAGCUUAAUAAAAAAGACGACAAAGUGGGACCGUCUGCAGAGAUGGAGAGGGAUGCAGAGAACGAGCGAGAACAUGAGCUUGAGCGAGCCAGUGAGAUUCCAGACUCAGAACCUUUAAUUCAAGAAGGAAAAGAUCAUGAGAUGGAAUCACAGGAUGAUGAGGAAGAGGAAGAGGAAGAGGUGGUGCUUUCAUCCCAAGAAAAUGUGUUUUUGAGUCCAGAAGAUGAUAUUGUACUUCCUCCAACGCAGACAAUGACAGAAUUACUUCCUGAAUCGCGUGAUGUGCAGCUAGAAGAUCGAGAAUUUGUGGAGGAAGUUGAGAUUGGGAAUGUUGUGGAAAUUGAGGAUGUGGAAAUUGAAGAUGACAGCGUUGAGGAUGAGAUGGUUGUGGAUGAGAAUGUUGAGGAAAUCGAGGAUGAGGAGGUUGUUAAAGCUGAACAUGAAAAUGUUGAAGAGAACCCAGACACCUCACAGUGUCUAGAGCGAAUAACUCGUAGAGCUCACCGCUCAGAGGGAGGAGGCUCUGUCGUGGGAAUUCCGCCUGCCACGGGAGUCACAAAGAAUUUUGGAGCUGGAUUGAACCCCAGAGAGAAAGAUCUUUUGGAUUUUGUGGACGAGAACCGUGAGAAUUUACAGGACUUUUCGGAUGAAGAAAGAGAACCGCUGGGCAGCCAAGAGUUUCCUCGCCUCCAUCCUCCAGCAGAGCUCAGCUCACCAGAGCAGAGGUCACGGCAACAUGAGGCUAGUCUGGCUGAGGGAGAUGUGCCAGAGCUUGAAGAAGAUGAUGACGCCCCAGAAGAACUUAACCAAUCAGAGGAGGAGGAGCUGAUAGACUCUGGGUCAGCCAGUCAGAGCCCUGAACUUCCACAAGAAGAGGAAGAGAACGAUGAUGACGACGCUCUUAGUGCAGAACUGUCCAUCAAAACUCCUGCGUUUGUAAGACAGAAGAGAGAUUUCACAGGUUCUGUUGCGCAGGCUAUGCCAACAGUCUUUAAAGUGAAUGCUGGAAGUUGGACCCAGUGGACCCGAAACCAAUUUCAUCAUCACUGCGGGACUGAGUCACACUGCUACUCAGCAAAGAGAGUGAGAGAAGAUCUGCUCGGCCAAAAAUACUUGAAUACUACACACCAGAUGGGAAUAAAGUGAAAACUAAAUAGGAAAACAGAACGAAGGACAAAGAUGUAGAAGGUUCAAGAAAACUCACUUUCUGGUCUGACCUUUUCUGGUCUGGUCUUGUCAGACCUUUGCACACAGGUUUCUGAUGAAUGGACCAUGACAUUUAAAAUCCCAAGUCUCAAAAACCACAAAGACUAGUUAUUUCCAGAGAAGAGACAGUGCAGGAAGCAGAGCCCAUGAUGACAUCACCACCC
ensembl:lncRNA